GCCAGGCAAAUGUAUCAAGCCUUGCUUCUGUUCAUCUUGCAGAGAACCAACAUCUCUACCCUCAUAAUACCCUACCGAGCUUGGCAUGAAGAAAUGGUCACUUGGUUGGAUGGUAACUCCCCGAAAGCUUUGGUUUGGACUGGCAGCUGCUUUCCUCAGGUCACAAAUUGGUUCAGAGAUCUUGUCGUGUGUCCUCUCUACACCUAUUCUUUCUCCUUCAAGUCGUUGAAUUCUUUGGGAGUAUACUGCAGCUGCCUUGCCAAGGAGCUCAGUCACAGCAGCCCUGUAAUCAAUUGGAUGAACCCGAUAGUGACCUACAUGAGGAGAGC
rnacentral:misc_RNA from 1 species